rnacentral:rRNA from 1 species
UAGGGAAUCUUCCACAAUGGACGCAAGUCUGAUGGAGCAACGCCGCGUGAGUGAAGAAGGUCUUCGGAUCGUAAAGCUCUGUUGUUGGUGAAGAAGGAUAGAGGCAGUAACUGGUCUUUAUUUGACGGUAAUCAACCAGAAAGUCACGGCUAACUACGUGCCAGCAGCCGCGGUAAUACGUAGGUGGCAAGCGUUGUCCGGAUUUAUUGGGCGUAAAGCGAGCGCAGGCGGAAUGAUAAGUCUGAUGUGAAAGCCCACGGCUCAACCGUGGAACUGCAUCGGAAACUGUCAUUCUUGAGUGCAGAAGAGGAGAGUGGAACUCCAUGUGUAGCGGUGGAAUGCGUAGAUAUAUGGAAGAACACCAGUGGCGAAGGCGGCUCUCUGGUCUGCAACUGACGUUGAGGCUCGAAAGCAUGGGUAGCGAACAGGAUUAGAUACCCUGGUAGUCCAUGCCGUAAACGAUGAGCGCUAGGUGUUGGGGACUUUCCGGUUCUCAGUGCCGCAGCAAACGCAUUAAGCGCUCCGCCUGGGGAGUACGACCGCAAGGUUGAAACGUCUAAGUGAAUUGAC